rnacentral:rRNA from 1 species
CAGCACCUCAAGUGGUCAGGAUGCUUAUUGGGCCUAAAGCAUCCGUAGCCGGCGCUGUAAGUUUUCGGUUAAAUCUGUACGCUCAACGUACAGGCUGCCGGGAAUACUGCAGCGCUAGGGAGUGGGAGAGGUAGACGGUACUCGGUAGGAAGGGGUAAAAUCCUUUGAUCUAUUGAUGACCACCUGUGGCGAAGGCGGUCUACCAGAACACGUCCGACGGUGAGGGAUGAAAGCUGGGGGAGCAAACCGGAUUAGAUACCCGAGUAGUCC